rnacentral:rRNA from 1 species
GACGAACGCUGGCGGCGUGCUUAACACAUGCAAGUCGAACGGUAAGGCCCUUCGGGGUACACGAGUGGCGAACGGGUGAGUAACACGUGGGUGAUCAGCCCUGCACUUCGGGAUAAGCCUGGGAAACUGGGUCUAAUACCGGAUAGGACCACUGCCUGCAUGGGUGGUGGUGGAAAGCUUUUGCGGUGUGGGAUGGGCACGCGGCCUAUCAGCUUGUUGGUGGGGUGAUGGCCUACCAAGGCGACGACGGGUAGCCGGCCUGAGAGGGUGACCGGCCACACUGGGACUGAGAUACGGCCCAGACUCCUACGGGAGGCAGCAGUGGGGAAUAUUGCACAAUGGGCGCAAGCCUGAUGCAGCGACGCCGCGUGAGGGAUGACGGCCUUCGGGUUGUAAACCUCUUUCAGCACCGACGAAGCGCAAGUGACGGUAGGUGCAGAAGAAGGACCGGCCAACUACGUGCCAGCCGCCGCAGUAA